rnacentral:tRNA from 1 species
GGGGAUGUAGCUCAGUUGGUAGAGUGCCUGCCUUGUAUGCAUGUGGCCCUGGGUUCAAUCCCCAGUACCA